GCCGAUGUAGCUCAGUUGGUAGAGCAGCGCUUUCGUAAAGCGCGGGCCGGUGGUUCAAAUCCACUCAUCGGCUCCA
rnacentral:tRNA from 1 species